rnacentral:misc_RNA from 2 species
GAAUUUUUGCCUUGCAAUCUUGACCAUUGUUGCUUCAAGUGACAAUUAUCCUUGAGCAACUAUCGGGUUUCUGUGUUGCAUACCAUUUGAAGGAAUAAGAUCCAAAAGAUUCGAAAUUUCAUCUUUUAUUACUCUGUGAUAUUAAGAUGAACCUCGAGGUACCUUCUGUGCUCCCACGCAUGCUUCUAAUCUUUUGUCGCGUGUGUGGUGCAUGGUUUGGCUACUCGUGCUCUGGGAUGUGGAACAUUGUGUUGCUAAGCGAUCUUUUGAUUGCUUUGGCCAAAAAAAUAGUCCAUUGUUGGAACGACUAUCAUGAUUGUCUCGACGGUCUUUGAUGUCGUGAAGGAAUGCUACCUGGUUGAUCCUGCCAGUAGUCAUAUGCUUGUCUCAAAGAUUAAGCCA